UCGUCCGAUCACCGAAGUUAAGCAACGUCGGGCUUGGUCAGUACCUAGAUGGGUGACCGCAUGGGAAUACCUCGUGCUGUAA